GAAAUGUCACAUAAAUGGCAUGCAAUUAUAAAAGUGUCUGUUUGCAUGUGUGUUUGAUUGCACGGGAGGAUAUGUUCAAAUAUAACUCUGACUUGUACCACAUGCAAAGUUAUUCUGUUGUGUUGCCAAUAACAAAGCGCACAAAGAGGCAAGAGAAGGAGAAGACAGACCGUGAAAAAUGAGGGUAUGGAGAAAAUAUACAUAAUGGGAAAACAACAGGAAGAUCUUUGCUAAAAAAAUUUUCAUGUUAAUAUUUCUGGACACCUAUUGCACUUUAAUUUUUGUCUCAUUUGCUGAAACAAUUAAUCAGUGAGGAAAUAAAUGAAAAAAUUUCACAGCAAAUGUAAGGAAGGCAAUUACAGGAAGAAAACAGGAAACCCUGCACUACAUGUACCAACAUCAACACACGUUCUUGCACUGAGCUAAAAAAGGGCUCUUUUUUUUUUUUUUUUUUUUUUACAAUCAAUAAGAUUGACUUUCCUUAAAUAAAGUUUUCAGAGAUUUUUAAUCAAAUCUUGACAUUUCAUGAAUACAAUUUUAUUUUAUGAUCACUCGCCAGCAUCUCAGAUCUAAUAAAAGGUGCUUAAAGUUAAAACACUGUUCUUUUUGGGGUAGAGUGGAUGCACUUUGUUGGUGUUUUUUGUUUGUUUGCUUGCUUUAAUUUUAUUUUUAUUCCCACAGAGCCAUUCUGCAUUGUGGCUUGCUUUUAGCAGCAUACGCUAGAGCUGAUCCCAGCUGUAUAACUUGAGACAGUGUCUGUCUCCUGAAUCCUGAUACUUGAAUACUCUCCUAUUCCAGUUUUUAAAUUUCUAUGGCCCACAAGUAAGCAUGCAUUCUGAGAUCAAAGUGCUCUUUUACAAUAAUAUGUUAACAGAGAUGUACUUAUAAAGUCUUUUUGUAACCAUAGCUAUCACCAUCUGGUGCCAUUUAGAUAGAAGCCGGGUACCCCCUAUACUGGGGGCAAAAUGCAGUUUCACCAUUUGAAGUCAGGUCUUUUAUGUAAAUACAGGCAUGUAUGGUAUCCACAAAAGCUUCCAAAUCUCGACAUUUUCAGCCCAGUAGUGGACACGUGACUGGAGGAGGGAGUGACAUAAAUUUAGCAGCACUUUCUCACUUUGUACCUUCCAACUAGUGGAACUAAUGUAAACAA
ensembl:lncRNA